AGGUAUUUACCAUUGCUUUAUCAAUCUUGAAUCGAUCUUCAAUUCCAUGACCAAUGGAGUCCAAUACAUGCAAUUGCCUGGUUCGACAAUUGAGUGCGUACAACCACCAGUGCUCCUUGAACACGGUUGGGACAAACACCUACAAAACGUUGCAAAGUUACAAACACCGACAAAUUUCAUAGAAAACAUCAAUAAUAUUAACCUACAUAAUCACAAUAAGAUAUUCCCUGAUAUGGGAAUAAAGCAUUCUCAUAAAAUGACAUGUAAUCCAAACUGGACCAUGAAUUUUGUCCCCCAUUGUUGAUCAUCUCCUCAAUUACACGAGUCUGCAACAACAAACACUAUUAUUAGUAAUAACAAAAACUUAAAAGAAAUCAAAAUCAAUUUAAAUCAACACUAACCGCAAAAAACGGAUUGAAUGAAAAGCGAUUCACCACUCCAAAAU
rnacentral:lncRNA from 1 species